rnacentral:misc_RNA from 1 species
AAGUCGUAACAAGGUUUCCGUAGGUGAACCUGCGGAAGGAUCAUUACCAAUUCGAUCACAUGUGAUGUGGGGCUCUGGCUUCAUGUCAUUCAACCAACCCUUGAUUGUGAACCUGUGAGAAUUACAAGUCUUUCCGUGGUGGUGGUGGUGGUGGUGGGGUAUCCCGCCGCCACAUAUCCACCCACGGGGAGCAAUCUUUUAUUCAACCCCAAAGAUGGAGGACGAGGCGUGUGAGAGCGUUGGUUCUGAGGCACACAGUGUUUCUGACACCCUACCCACACCCUGCUUAUACUCCACAAAAGGAAGCGAUGAGCUCCGAAUACAAGAAAUAAAAAAGUUGUAUACAACUUUUAACGGCGGAUCUCUUGGCUCGU